rnacentral:rRNA from 1 species
UACGGGGGGUGCGAGCGUUGUCCGGAAUCACUGGGCGUAAAGGACGCGUAGGUGGUUUGAUAAGGGUGUGGUGAAAGUCCGGAGCUCAACUCCGGAUCUGCCGUGCCGACUGUCAAACUCGAGGGCUGUAGAGGCAGACGGAAUUCCGGGUGUAGCGGUGGAAUGCGUAGAGAUCCGGAGGAAGACCGGUGGCGAAGGCGGUCUGCUGGGCAGUUUCUGACACUGAGGCGCGACAGCGUGGGGAGCAAACAGG